rnacentral:rRNA from 1 species
GUGGGGAAUAUUGGACAAUGGGGGCAACCCUGAUCCAGCAAUGCCGCGUGAGUGAUGAAGGCCUUCGGGUUGUAAAGCUCUUUUGCCAGGGACGAUGAUGACGGUACCUGGAGAAUAAGCCCCGGCUAACUUCGUGCCAGCAGCCGCGGUAAUACGAAGGGGGCGAGCGUUGUUCGGAAUUACUGGGCGUAAAGGGCGCGUAGGCGGCCAUUUGAGUCAGGCGUGAAAAUCCUGGGCUUAACCCGGGGACUGCGCUUGAUACGGGAUGGCUUGAAGUCGGGAGAGGAUGGCGGAAUUCCCAGUGUAGAGGUGAAAUUCGUAGAUAUUGGGAAGAACACCGGUAGCGAAGGCGGCCAUCUGGCUCGAUCUUGACGCUGAGGCGCGAAAGCGUGGGGAGCAAACAGGAUUAGAAACCCGAGUAGUCC